rnacentral:lncRNA from 1 species
CCUGGCUUUGCCACUAAUUAGCUUUACAACCUAUAUCUGAAUCUGGUUUCAUUAUCUUAAAAUUGAGAUAACAGUACCAUAAUAAAUUUAUUUGAAAAAUUAAAUAAGCCAAUGGGUGUAUAAUGCUUAACACAGUAUCUGACAUACUAUUAAUGUUCUACAAAUAAUAAUCACUAUUAUUAUAGAGUAUUCCCCAAUAAAGGUUAAGAGAACUCACUUUAAGGAAAAAUAACUCAAUUCAACAAGUAUUUAGUAUACUGUGUGAGGCUCUGUUCUCUGAGAAUGUGCCUAAUUCCAACCCCUGUGACAUGCUCUGUAUUCUGCUCACCCCUGGACUCUUUGUACAUGCUAUUUCACUUUCCUGGAGCUGCUCCCCUCCCCACAUUCUGCCCCCGAGCCCUCUAGUCCAUUCACUCAGCUCACUCCUACUCAGUUUUCAAGUAUUAGCCUAAAAGUCACUGCUUAAAGUGACCUGGCAGCUUGAAAGAGGUCCUCAAGUUCCAGAAAGGAACAGAACCUGCCUGAGACGUUGACUGCCACCUUGGCGGGGCCCUAGUCUAGGUCAGGCACCCCUGCUAUAUGCCCCCCAUAGCGCCCUGCACUUCACUUACCAUUCAUGCCGGUUUUCAUUACUCCUACUCUGCUAAGCUCACAAGGCAAGGAGAUAGGGACCGCAUCUGAACUGAGGACUGCUGUUAACUCCAGGCAUAAAGACGAUAGCCAGAGUAGGACUUCAUAAUCAUAAAGUGAAUAAAUAGGUGAAAGAAAAGGUAAGAUAAAUAUCAUUUGAAGAGGUAACAACAAUCUACUUAAGGAGCUUUGAAGGAAGGAAAGAUUCUAUCCACAUGGGAAACUUCACAGGAGAACCGGCUUUUGAGAAGGUCUUGAAUGCUACAUGGGACUUUGGUAUGCGGAUACUGCAGAAGGUCGUCUAGGGAGAGGGAGCAGCAUUCUUGGAAUCUCACAGUGUUCUCAACAAGCAGCCUUCCCCUUCCCCACCCAGGUUCUGGACAAGGGCACAGAAUAGCACCGCCCCAUAGAAGUGACGUGAUGAAAACCAAUGUGGGGUUGCAAAGAGGAAGAUAAGUCAGAGUGCCUGUGCCUUCAACAAACGGCUGGUUGUGCAGGAGUGUGAAUAGCUUCAGAAUCUGGUCCAUAGUAAUAUUCUACCUGGUUACUUAAGUCAUUUAUAAACAAUUUUCUAAAUAUAAUGCAGGUCAUAGAUCUGAGAGCUGAGAGCUCCGGCACAUUUACGUCUUAAAGAGAUCAGAUAAUCCUGCAUAUCCUACCCAUAGGUAAGGCGUUGUUUGCUAAAUACAGUAUUUUUCUCUUUUUAAAGCUAUAUGAAGAUUAGCUAAAGUUUUUAGCAAAUGGGAUUAAAUGGCACAUUGGGAUGCUUAACAUUGGGUCCAUAUCAUUUCAUAAUUUGGUAUUAAAGGAAGACUUUGUGUGAGGGAAGAACGUUAGUAAAUCGAUUCCUCUUUAGACAAAGCUGCAAAAGUUCUCUUUAGUCGCAGUGAGCAGUACAACAGAACCUGCGAUAAUCAUACACAGAUGAUGGGAAUUUGUCUAAUGUUUUAUGGUGAAUCAUUGAUGAGGCCAGCAGAAGGGAAAUUUGUAGAAAUAAAAUCACCUUGACAGUAGAGUACCA